GGUCGGUUAGCUCAGUCGGUAGAGCAUCGCAAUUACACUCACUUCUUCUUCUGAAGCAAGAAGUACUGCGAAGGCCAUAGGUUCAAGCCCUAUACUGACCA